GAUGACGGUUACAAUCUCUUGUACCUUCUUCCAUUCUGGAUCCAUGAAAGAUGGGGGGCAGAAUUGCCAAUGCAGGAAAAAUCUGGCCUGCUCUUCUGCCUGCAAACAGCAAUGUCAUGUGCAGAAAUCAGUCAGUGAAGCUCUUGCUGGAAUAAAGAUAAGCAUUACCAUUUGAUAGGGUUGGUAGACAAAGGGGCUAACAACAAAGGCACAGCUGUUGAAGCCAGUGGAAAAGCUGGCAGCCCAGGGGUGAAGAAAGAGAGAGAGCUUGAGGAGCAACUACUUGGUUGCGAUCCACAAAAUGUGCCCACCACUGGAUACUUCUGUAGAGUUUAUUCAGAAGAUUUGUUAUUCUGCUGAACAUGUGCAAUGUACAGGAACUCCCUUCCUCCUGCACAGAGAACUGUGAAAAAGGCAAGUUUCUAGUCCCUACAGCUGCAUCAAUGAGCUUGAAAAUGCUCAGCCAACAUCUGGUGAAAUCUCAGAAGGCCGAAGGAGAAGCUGAGCAGGAUUUCCAAUAGUUAAGGGAAGGGCUACUGUGACUUGCUUGUUCCUGUCUGUGAUGAGCAGAAGCAGAAUAAAUUAUGCAAAAUAAGCAUACAUAUAUGUAUAUGUGUGUGUGGAUGGAUAGUUGCAUAAUGUAUGCAUAUCACAAAAUCCAGCUUUUAUUGGAACAGGAGAGUACCUUAGUAAAGAAUGGUGGUUUGACUAUGCGUCAGUUCAUUUGUAUGAUUUAUAAAGGUUGCAUAAUUCAGCUUUCCUUGCUGCAUAAUUUUGCUUCUCUUAGCAUGGAAUUUUAAUUGUUUUUAACACUGUGGACAGAAUCCCAUUAUUCCUUGUCAAUCUGUAAAUGUGUAAAUAAACCAGUUCUCACAGGGA